rnacentral:rRNA from 1 species
GAUGAACGCUGGCGGCGUGCCUAAUACAUGCCAGUCGAGCGAACGGACGAGAAGCUUGCUUUUCUGAUGUUAGCGGCGGACGGGUGAGUAACACGUGGAUAACCUACCUAUAAGACUGGGAUAACUUCGGGAAACCGGAGCUAAUACCGGAUAAUAUUUUGAACCGCAUGGUUCAAAAGUGAAAGACGGUCUUGCUGUCACUUAUAGAUGGAUCCGCGCUGCAUUAGCUAGUUGGUAAGGUAACGGCUUACCAAGGCAACGAUGCAUAGCCGACCUGAGAGGGUGAUCGGCCACACUGGAACUGAGACACGGUCCAGACUCCUACGGGAGGCAGCAGUAGGGAAUCUUCCGCAAUGGGCGAAAGCCUGACGGAGCAACGCCGCGUGAGUGAUGAAGGUCUUCGGAUCGUAAAACUCUGUUAUUAGGGAAGAACAUACGUGUAAGUAACUGUGCACAUCUUGACGGUACCUAAUCAGAAAGCCACGGCUAACUACGUG